rnacentral:snRNA from 1 species
UCCGCGGCGAGAGCGGGUC